rnacentral:rRNA from 1 species
UACGAAGGGGGCUAGCGUUGCUCGGAAUCACUGGGCGUAAAGGGUGCGUAGGCGGGUCUUUAAGUCAGGGGUGAAAUCCUGGAGCUCAACUCCAGAACUGCCUUUGAUACUGAAGAUCUUGAGUUCGGGAGAGGUGAGUGGAACUGCGAGUGUAGAGGUGAAAUUCGUAGAUAUUCGCAAGAACACCAGUGGCGAAGGCGGCUCACUGGCCCGAUACUGACGCUCAGACACGACAGCAUGGGGAGCGAACGGG